GGAUCAAUUGAUUGGUCAUGCCUUGGUAUGAACUGGUCAUAUUGGUUCUCACCUUCUAAUGAACCAUAAUGUCAUUCACUUGAUGUUAUGGGGAAUUAGGACUGUUACCUUGAAAAAAUUAGAGUGUUCAAAGCAGGCAUAUGCUCGAAUACAUUAGCAUGGAAUAAUAGAAUAGGACGU
rnacentral:rRNA from 1 species